UGAAAAUUUCAGGGCAGAUAGAUCUUGACUUGCAAAACAAUUAAACCCCAUUUCUGAAUUGCUCUUAAUUCUUUGGUUUCCGAGUAAUAAGCCAAAAUCUACAUUUUACCCCUAUGUUCUAUUUUUAGCCAUGGUGGCCAUCAUGGUUGGUUGGCAGGGUCACUGCACACAUUUUUAAAACUAGAUAUCUAAAUGAUGAUUAUGGCAAAGUAUGGUUAAAU
rnacentral:lncRNA from 1 species